CUGCUUCUUUCGGGCUGGAACGCCUUCUUUUUAUAUCUUUUUCUUUUCUUUCUUCUUUAUUUUUCUCAUUUUUUUCAUUUUCUUUUCUUUUUCCUUUUUAUUUCUUUGGUAUUUUGGAGGACACAAUCAAUGGAAAAAGCAGAACAUCAAGAAAAGAGUGGAAAAAUAUUUGGGGAAAGCAAGAUCCAGAACUAAAAUGAUUUCAUCUAUAACUAUGCAUUUUCUCCAUUAUUUUAUCUAACUUGUAAUGUAAUGUAUGAAAUUUACCAUUUAUAUAACAUGGGCUAAACAUUUGUAUUGAGAUUUAUGACAUUAACUUAACCUAGUUUUUAAUUAAUUUUAAUAUUUGCUCUUUGAUGUUAAGUUACUUAUUUUCAUGUGAUUUUACUAUUGUUAUUAUUGCAUUUUCAUUUAUGUGGCCAAUGAAUGAUUAUAUUUUAUGUUUUGUACAUCGUUCGAGAAAAGAUUGUGCAUUUUAAACCAAAUAAUAGAAACCCUAGAUUUGUGUGGUGGAUAGAGACACACCCUUUACCCUAGGUGACCCAAUGAACUAUUUUCACAUAGAGUUAAUGCAGUUGUUUGGUUUUAAUCGAUAUAAAGAUUUAGUAGGUUAAACCAAUCAAUCAGAGUUAAUUUCUCUCUCGAGAGAUAAUUAACUAAAAUUGGAAGAUAGUGUCCAACAUCAUAAAUGAGUAAUUUGUUAAUUGGCUUUUAGAUAAAUUAUUUAGACGACGAUUAAGCGAAACCUUGAAUCCCGACCACGUUUGCUUCCAAAAUUUCCAAGAUUUUUAUUAUUUUGUAGAUUUUUAGUUAUUUUCCAUAAUCAAGUAUUUAUUAUGUGUUUGUUUUUAUUGUUAGAAUUAAAUUAAUUAAAGUUGUGUAAUCUAAAGUAAACAUUCCUUGGAGAUCACAAUUCAGACACAAAAGGUCCACUUUAUUACUUGAAUUCGAUUCAUGAACUUAUGACAUGCACUUUUAGCGAACACUCACGUCAGCCUCAUUCCUAAAUUUAUGCUCCUCAAACUUAUGAAUAACUACCUAAAGUUCACAAGUACCACCAAAUCACCAAUAAUCCUCAUGUUGUAGAAAUAUUAGGCACCAAAGAUAAAUGGUGUCAAGCCUUCAGCAACCACUGCAUUCUUGAUCUUGGGUGCGAGUGCAAGUAUUUGAAAAAUAUAUCCAACCAUCCGAAGUUAAAGAAUAGAGAUGGCAAAAGAAUCCGUUCAACCUAAUACACUUGGAGCCCUGCCUAACUGGGUAAAUGGGAUGGGUACAAGACGAGAGUCAUUGCUCCGUUUAAAGUUAAUUUCAAAUUUAAGUUUUUAUCAAACAAAAGUAAUAGAUUUAUCAUCAUUUUUUAAAGUGAACAUAAGUUGUUUUAACAAAUUGGUAAAAAAGUAAUGAUAUUUACUACCUAAGGACAAAAAAAUAAAAUAAAUAAAAAAUAAAAAGAAAAAAUAAAUGAGGCGAUAAAUGGGGCAGGUGAUCCGCCCCGAUCCCGUCCCGCUUUAAUUGGGUAUGAGUAUGUGUUAAAAUAACAAAAAUACCCAACAUGAUGGGGGUAGGAAUGGUCGACCCGUACCAUACGCGCACCGUUGCCAUCCCUAUUAAAGAACCAAAAUCCAUUUCUUAUGCCUUUAUGACUGAGCAAUAAACAAGCAUUUGAACCUUAAUUCUCAUCAAGAAUCAGUAGCUAAAAAUGAAUGCAUCCUAGUCGGAAAAUAUAUUUUGGAAUAAGAAGUGUUUAUUUCUAAUCACAAUAUACAACCAAUUGGUUAGACUUGAGCCCAGACGACCUUUAGGGAUGUCCAAAUACAAGUCUUAUAAGCAUGAAUGUGAUAUGCUAAAUUUUAAUACUCAAGACUUCAAUUGUUAGCCAAAUAAUAGCAGAAUUUAGUUUUUAUUCUUUUGAAGCGAGUAGAUAACAUAGUGAUGACAGUGAAGAUGUGUUUAAGCCGGAUAAGAUAAGAUAUUAUUUUGUUAGUAUAAUGACUAAAUUAACUUAGUCUAACGUGGUUUGCAGAACACAUCCUUCAAGUGCUAAUUUAUCAGUCACAGGGUUGGUAAAGAUAAAUCAUUAUUAUUUUCUAAAAGAAUACUAAUUUUGAUAUCAUUCAGCUGGAGUUAUCCAGUAAUAACAUUUUCUAUAUGUAUUAUCCCUAGAUGUUAAAUGGAUUCAUAGUCAAUUUUUUCAACUAUAAUCUAUAAAACUAGAGUGGAAAUUUUGUUUGAUUGGAACUGUAGUUCUUAGAUCGCCACGGUCAAAGCUCAGGGUCGGCGAGUCUAUGGUUAAGCAGGUUGGUCAUUGUCAAACUGAAAAUUUAUAUCAAAAAUACAUAUUUUAAAAUCACUUCAAAGAAAUGUAUACGGAUGAAUAUAAAAUAAGACAUAAAGCUCUUUGGCCUCAACAAUCGAGGAGUUAUCGACUUAAAGCUCGCUACAAGGAUCGAGAAGAAAACUUACGGGAGUGAGGUAAAACGUGAUAUUCGGAUUAAGAAAGAAAUAAAGAAAUAAAGCAAAAAAAAAUAAUAAUAAUAAAAUAUAUAUAUAUAUAUAUAUAUAUAUAUAUAUAUAUAUAUAUAGUAGAGAAUCAUCACGUGAUUAAAUAUUGAGAUUGCUGGUUAGACCCAACCGAAUUAAAGCGGGAAAAAAAAAUAGUGAUUGAGAGCAACCUUUAGAUUUACACCUCAAGAAAGAAAAGAGCACAUCUAUUUGAGGAAUGUGAAUCUCACAGGUGAGAAAGGAAAUAUUUGACCAUAAAGGGUUGGGUUGAAGCCAAUUUGAAAAUUUUUCCAUCGUGAUAGCAUUUUUCUAAUUUAAAUGACAAUUAAAAGUGAUUAUGCACACACACACACUGAUUAAACAUCAGAUAAGCUCAAAUUAUUUAUGCUAGUAUUACUUGGAACAUAUUUGUGAAUUGAUUAUAAAAUUUUACACUCAUUGAUGACAAGUUAUCUAUUGUGUUGAUCUUUAUCUCAUUUUAUAUGAUUAUGUUAGUACCUAAUCUUGCUCAGGAUGAGCAAGAGCUUAAAUUUGAAGGUAUUUGAUAAGCAUAUUUUUGCACACUCUAAUACCUAAAUAAGCCCAAAUUUUGAUUAAAUGAGCAAAUUUCUAUUCAGAAUUAUGUAAUUAUUGCUUUUGUAGGAAAAAAUGAUCCAAGAAAAAAGAACAAAGCAAAAUGGAGUGAAAAAGGGAUCAAAAGCAUACAAAAAACGUGAAGUCGGUGACCAAAGUGCACAAGUAAGAAAUGUUCGAGGACAUGGGCUUGCAGUUUUUGGGUCAUAAUUGAAAGAAAAGUCAAAUUUUGAGGACCAAAUUGUACAAAAUCAAAGUUGCGGGACCUUCCAUGCAAUUAUCUCAGGGACUUAAUUGCAUAAAUGCGCCUAGGCGCCACUGUUCCAACGCCUAGGUGCCAUUUUUAAAAUCAAAAUAAUGCUCGAAACCUUUUUGCCUUUUGACCAAAAUUCUGGGGACUUGUAUUGCAAUUUUCUGAAAAGGGUUUUAAUUGAAUUGUAAAAAGACGAGCUGGGGAUUUUCUGGAUUCUGUUCCUUUCGGGCUGGAGCGCCUCUUUUUAUAUCCUUUUCUUUUCUUUCUUCUUUAUUUUUCUCAUUUUUUCAUUUUCUUUUCUUUUUCCUUUUUAUUUUCUUGAUAUUUUGGAGGACACAAUCAAUGGAAAAAGCAGAACAUCAAGAAAAAAGUGGAAAAAUAUUUGGGGAAAGCAAGAUCGAGCUCUAAAAUGGUGUCUUCUAUAACUUUGCAUUUUCUCCAUUAUUUUGUCAAACUUGCAAUGAUUAGUAUGAAAUUUACCGUUAUAUAACAUGGGCUAAACAUUUGUAUUGGAAU
rnacentral:lncRNA from 1 species